UACGUAGGGGGCUAGCGUUGUCCGGAAUCAUUGGGCGUAAAGCGCACGUAGGCGGUCUGUUAUGUCGGAUGUGAAAGCCCUCGGCUUAACCCUGAGCUUGCGGUCGAUACGGGCAUGACUGGAGUUCGGUAGGGGAGACUGGAAUUCCUGGUGUAGCGGUGAAAUGCGCAGAUAUCAGGAGGAACACCGGUGGCGAAGGCGGGUCUCUGGGCCGAUACUGACGCUGAGGAGCGAAAGCGUGGGGAGCGAACAGG
rnacentral:rRNA from 1 species